GGCGGCAUGCCUUACACAUGCAAGUCGAACGGUAACAGGUCUUCGGAUGCUGACGAGUGGCGAACGGGUGAGUAAUACAUCGGAACGUGCCCGAUCGUGGGGGAUAACGGAGCGAAAGCUUUGCUAAUACCGCAUACGAUCUACGGAUGAAAGCAGGGGACCGCAAGGCCUUGCGCGGACGGAGCGGCCGAUGGCAGAUUAGGUAGUUGGUGGGAUAAAAGCUUACCAAGCCGACGAUCUGUAGCUGGUCUGAGAGGACGACCAGCCACACUGGGACUGAGACACGGCCCAGACUCCUACGGGAGGCAGCAGUGGGGAAUUUUGGACAAUGGGCGAAAGCCUGAUCCAGCCAUGCCGCGUGCAGGAUGAAGGCCUUCGGGUUGUAAACUGCCUUUGUACGGAACGAAAAGACUCCUUCUAAUAAAGGGGGUCCAUGACGGUACCGUAAGAAUAA
rnacentral:rRNA from 1 species